rnacentral:rRNA from 1 species
GAUGAACGCUGGCGGCGUGCCUAAUACAUGCAAGUCGAGCGAACGGACGAGAAGCUUGCUUUUUUGAUGUUAGCGGCGGACGGGUGAGUAACACGUGGAUAACCUACCUAUAAGACUGGGAUAACUUCGGGAAACCGGAGCUAAUACCGGAUAAUAUUUUGAACCGCAUGGUUCAAAAGUGAAAGACGGUCUUGCUGUCACUUAUAGAUGGAUCCGCGCUGCAUUAGCUAGUUGGUAAGGUAACGGCUUACCAAGGCAACGAUGCAUAGCCGAGCUGAGAGGGUGAUCAGCGACACAGGAAGUGAGACACGGUCCGGACUCAUACGGAAGGCAGCGGUAGCGAAUCUUCCGCUAGGGGCGAAGGUCAGACGGAGCAAAACCGCGUGAGUAAUGAAGGUCUUAUGAUCAUAGUACUCUGUUAUUAGGGAAGAGCAAGUUUGUAUAUAAGUGUGCACAUCUUGACAGUACCUAAUCAGAAGGCCACGGCUAAAUACGUG